rnacentral:rRNA from 1 species
ACCUGCCCUAUGAAUAAUUUAUUUUUAAAUGGCUGCGGUAUUUUGACCGUACAAAGGUAGCAUAAUAAUUAGUUUCUUAAUUGGGAACUGGAAUGAAUGGUCGAACGAGAAAAAUACUGUCUCAAUUUAAUUUAAAUUAGAAUUUUAUUUUUAAGUAAAAAAGCUUAAAUAUACUUAAAAGACGAGAAGACCCUAUAGAGUUUUAUAUUAAUUAUUAUAAUUGAAAGUUAAGUAUUAUAGAUUUAGUUAUAUUAAUUAGUAUUUGGUUGGGGCGAUUAAAAAAUUUAAUAAACUUUUUUUAAAAUAAAACCAUUUAUUUAUGAAUAGGUGAUCCAUAUUUUAUGAUUAAAAGAU